UCAGUUGUUGUUUGUUCUAUUUUACAGUUUUAAAUGCGGUAUGAUGUCUGAUGUUUUUAUUUCAUAGUUUCGUGUGCAUGUAUCACUGUUUCAUUGAUUAUAGACUGAAUGACUGAGAACCCGAUAUUGUGUGUUAUCUUGUUGGCAUGAACUACCGGUUUGCAUGUUUGUGUGUGAUUUGAUGAUGCUGACUGAGGAAAAAGGGGGAUGAAAUGUUAUGUAAAUUGAUAAUUGUAUAAUGUGGUUAGCCUGACUAGAUAUCCUGAGAGAUGGUGGACGGACCGGGUCCGUAGGGAACCCUACCGGGACUGUGGUCUCUCAUACCGGACGGGGUAUGG
rnacentral:lncRNA from 1 species